UGGGGAAUAUUGGACAAUGGGCGAAAGCCUGAUCCAGCCAUGCCGCGUGUGUGAAGAAGGUCUUCGGAUUGUAAAGCACUUUAAGUUGGGAGGAAGGGCAUUAACCUAAUACGUUAGUGUUUUGACGUUACCGACAGAAUAAGCACCGGCUAACUCUGUGCCAGCAGCCGCGGUAAUACAGAGGGUGCAAGCGUUAAUCGGAAUUACUGGGCGUAAAGCGCGCCUAGGUGGUUUGUUAAGUUGGAUGUGAAAUCCCCGGGCUCAACCUGGGAACUGCAUUCAAAACUGACUGACUAGAGUAUGGUAGAGGGUGGUGGAAUUUCCUGUGUAGCGGUGAAAUGCGUAGAUAUAGGAAGGAACACCAGUGGCGAAGGCGACCACCUGGACUAAUACUGACACUGAGGUGCGAAAGCGUGGGGAGCAAACA
rnacentral:rRNA from 1 species